rnacentral:rRNA from 1 species
CCUACGGGAGGCAGCAGUAGGGAAUAUUGCUCAAUGGGGGAAACCCUGAAGCAGCAACGCCGCGUGGAGGAUGAAGGUUUUCGGAUUGUAAACUCCUUUUGUUAGAGAAGAUAAUGACGGUAUCUAACGAAUAAGCACCGGCUAACUCCGUGCCAGCAGCCGCGGUAAUACGGAGGGUGCAAGCGUUACUCGGAAUCACUGGGCGUAAAGAGCGCGUAGGCGGGAUAGCAAGUCAGAUGUGAAAUCCUAUGGCUUAACCAUAGAACUGCAUUUGAAACUGUUAUUCUAGAGUAUGGGAGAGGUAGGUGGAAUUCUUGGUGUAGGGGUAAAAUGCGUAGAGAUCAAGAGGAAUACUGAUGGCGAAGGCGACCUGCUAGAACAUAACUGACGCUGAUGCGCGAAAGCGUGGGGAGCAAACAGGAUUAGAUACCCGGGUAGUC